AUGUAGGCCAAUUUAGCCUUAAGGCUCUGAAACACCAACCCGACGGCCGACCGUCGACAGAAAAGGCAGUCUGAAUGAUCAUUCAGCUCCCGUCGGUCC